rnacentral:rRNA from 1 species
GAUGAACGCUAGCGGGAGGCUUAACACAUGCAAGUCGAGCGGUAUUGACCUUCGGGUCGAGAGAGCGGCGGACGGGUGCGUAACGCGUAUGCAACCUGCCUUAUGCAGGGGAAUAGCCCGGGGAAACCCGGAUUAAUACUCCAUAGAUCAGUAGUAUCGCAUGGUACAAUUGGUAAAGAUUUAUCGGCAUAAGAUGGGCAUGCGUCUGAUUAGCUAGUUGGUAGGGUAACGGCCUACCAAGGCGACGAUCAGUAGGGGUUCUGAGAGGAUUAACCCCCACACUGGUACUGAGACACGGACCAGACUCCUACGGGAGGCAGCAGUGAGGAAUAUUGGUCAAUGGGCGCAAGCCUGAACCAGCCAUCCCGCGUGAAGGAUGAAUGCCUUAUGGGUUGUAAACUUCUUUUGUACCUGAAGAAACUCUGGGUCGAGACCUGGACUGCCGGUAGGGUACGAAUAAGCAUCGGCUAACUCCGUGCCAGCAGCCGCGGUAAUACGGAGGAUGCAAGCGUUAUCCGGAUUUAUUGGGUUUAAAGGGUGCGCAGGCGGUUAAAUAAGUCAGUGGUGAAAGUCUGCCGCUUAACGGUAGGAUUGCCAUUGAUACUGUUUAACUUGAGUUUAGGUGAGGUAGGCGGAAUGUGUAGUGUAGCGGUGAAAUGCAUAGAUAUUACACAGAACACCGAUUGCGAAGGCAGCUUACUAAUCUACAACUGACACUGAGGCACGAAAGCGUGGGGAUCAAACAGGAUUAGAUACCCUGGUAGUC